UAGGCCUUUCAUCUGGAUCUUGGAGGCUGAUCAGAGUUUGGAGGUCAGGAAAAGGAGGAGCAACAGGCCAAGAGAACACAAAAUGACUGGUUGCAUUGUGACCUCCCAGGAACAGAACCAAGAGCCUGUGUGGACUCUUCCCCUCUAUUCAAAGCGGCAAAAAACCCAAAAGUUGCCUCACUGGAAGCCAGGACACCUAUGGACACCUUAAGGCGAUUUUCUCUGGCAAGAAGUGGAGAUCUGAUACAGACUUUUC
rnacentral:lncRNA from 1 species